CCUACGGGUGGCAGCAGUCGAGAAUCAUUCACAAUGGGGGAAACCCUGAUGGUGCGACGCCGCGUGGGGGAAUGAAGGUCUUCGGAUUGUAAACCCCUGUCAUGUGGGAGCAAAUUAAAAAGAUAGUACCACAAGAGGAAGAGACGGCUAACUCUGUGCCAGCAGCCGCGGUAAUACAGAGGUCUCAAGCGUUGUUCGGAAUCACUGGGCGUAAAGCGUGCGUAGGCUGUUUCGUAAGUCGUGUGUGAAAGGCGCGGGCUCAACCCGCGGACGGCACAUGAUACUGCGGGACUAGAGUAAGGGAGGGGGAACCGGAAUUCUCGGUGUAGCAGUGAAAUGCGUAGAUAUCGAGAGGAACACUCGUGGCGAAGGCGGGUUCCUGGACAUUAACUGACGCUGAGGCACGAAGGCCAGGGGAGCGAAAGGGAUUAGAUACCCCUGUAGUC
rnacentral:rRNA from 1 species